ACUACGAGCCCAAGCUUAAAACCCAAAGGACUUGACGGUUUUCCAUCCCCCUAGAGGAGCCUGUUCUAUAAUCGAUUAUCCCCGAUCAACCUCACCACCCCUUGAAUUUACAGCCUGUAUACCUCCGUCGCAAGCUUACCUUGUGAACGCAUAUUUAGUGAGCUUAAAGAUUUUACAUCUACACGUCAGGUCAAGGUGCAGCCUACGAAGUGGAAAGAAAUGGGCUACAAUUUCUACUUUAGAACAAACGAAAGACUAUGAAAUACAACCUAAAGGCGGAUUUAGUAGUAAAAGGAAAAUAGAGAGUUCCUUUUAAUUGGGCACUGGAAUGCGUACACACCGCCCGUCACCCUCUUCAGAUUAUAAAUAUAUGUAACUGACACCACAAACCUUCAUAGAAGAGGCAAGUCGUAACAUGGUAAGCGUACUGGAAAGUGCGCUUGGACUAACAAAAUGUAACUUAAUAAAAGUGUCUUGUUUACACCAAGAGUAUGUAUGUGAGAACCUAACCAUUUUGAGCCUAAAAUCUAGCCCCAUUUUAUUUAAUGAAACAUAAUAAUCAACAUAAAAAACUAAAACAUUUUCUUAUACUUAGUAAAGGUGAUUAAAAAGUAUUUUGGAGCCUAAACAUUAGUACCGCAAGGGAAAGUGAAAUAAAAAUGAAAUAAAUUUUAGGCACUAU
rnacentral:rRNA from 1 species